rnacentral:lncRNA from 7 species
AAGGAGAGUGGUUUUCUGCACGAUCUUCUAGGAAAGAAGGAGUAACAGAUGCUCAUUGUGACGUGAACGUAAUUUCAGUACCUGCAUAGGAGAAAUGACGACCGGAGCCACCCGAGCUUAAAGAGGAAGGUGCACCAGCAAGGUGUGUUCCUUGCCAUAUAGGCUUAGGGAGAAAAUGAACUCUUCUGUCCUUAAAGAGUGACAAAUUGGAAGUGGUGGGACCGUCUCAAAAGUCAGAGAGGAUUCAGACUCUGCACACUGAAUUUUGGAAAUGAAACUGAGGAUUACUAAGCUGGUCUCACAAGGGACAUUUCCUAAGUAUGCUACCAGCCUUCCCUUGGGUGGAGAUGCUCCUAUGGAUUUGUUUCAUUCAUGUCUUAAGAUGAGACACUUCAGUGUUGUUAACAAUAAAAAAGCAUCUUUUAUGUGCUUACCACAAUAGCCCAGCCACAAACUGGGAGUCUUGGUAAAGAAGAAAACACAUUUCAUUUUAGAGUCAGCCAGCAAAGUUUCUUUCCCAUCAGCUUUUCUCUCUUCUUUUUGUUAUUUUCCCCUUGAAGCCACUGAAGACUAGUGUUCCCAGCUCACGCAGUGUGGAAUCAGCAGACUCCUUCUCACAAUGCAUCUAGCAAGCCUGCAGCAUCAGGGCCAUACUGCAUCCCAACACAGCUGUAUGUUGAGGCUUAGGGAUGCAGAGGAAAGGAGGCUGCAUCCCUCCCCUGUGCCUCACCUCUUCUACCACUGAAAGAUGCAGAAGUUGAAAGUUAAGCUUUUGAGUUACCAGCAAUUUCCACUUUGGUGCAUUAUUGGCUUUCCUGUAGUGCUUUUAUAAGACUGUUUAUAAGACAAUAGACAAUAGAAGAAGUUGCUGAGGCUCCCAGUGGACACAUGUUGACAAUAAACCCCUGUAACAAAGG